GGAAGGAUCAUUACCGAAUUGUCAACAUGAAGUUGUUGCUGGCCCUCAAAUGGGGGCAUGUGCACACUCUGUUUACACAUCCACUCACACCUGUGCACUCUCUGUAGUACUGUGGUCUGGGGGUUCCGUCCUCCUACUGUGGUUCUGCAUAUUUAUACACACACACUGUAAUAAAGUCUCAUGGAAUGUAUACCGCGUUUAACGCAAUGAAAUACAACUUUCAGCAACGGAUCUCUUGGCUCUCGCAUCGAUGAAGAACGCAGCGAAAUGCGAUAAGUAAUGUGAAUUGCAGAAUUCAGUGAAUCAUCGAAUCUUUGAACGCACCUUGCGCCCUUUGGCUAUUCCGAAGGGCAUGCCUGUUUGAGUAUCAUGAACACCUCAACUCUCAUGGCUUGCCAUGAUGAGCUUGGACUUGGGGGUUUUGCUGGCCUACAGUCAGCUCCCCUCAAAUGCAUCAGCUUUCCAGUGUUUGGUGGCACCACAGGUGUGAUAAACAUCUACACGUGUGGUUCCCCACCAUGUAACCUUCAGUGAUGGAGGUUUGCUGGAGCUCACAAAUGUCUUUCCUCAGUGAAGACAGUUCUUUGAUUGUUUGAUCUCAAAUCAGGUAGGACUACCCGCUGAACUUAAGCAUAUCAAUAAG
rnacentral:sRNA from 1 species